AUUGAACGCUGGCGGCAGGCCUAACACAUGCAAGUCGAGCGGAUGAAGGGAGCUUGCUCCUGGAUUCAGCGGCGGACGGGUGAGUAAUGCCUAGGAAUCUGCCUGGUAGUGGGGGAUAACGUCCGGAAACGGGCGCUAAUACCGCAUACGCCCUGAGGGAGAAAGUGGGGGAUCUUCGGACCUCGCGCUAUCAGAUGAGCCUAGGUCGGAUUAGCUAGUUGGUGGUGUAAAGGCCUACCAAGGCGACGAUCCGUAACUGGUCUGAGAGGAUGAUCAGUCACACUGGAACUGAGACACGGUCCAGACUCCUACGGGAGGCAGCAGUGGGGAAUAUUGGACAAUGGGCGAAAGCCUGAUCCAGCCAUGCCGCGUGUGUGAAGAAGGUCUUCGGAUUGUAAAGCACUUUAAGUUGGGAGGAAGGGCAGUAAGUUAAUACCUUGCUGUUUUGACGUUACCAACAGAAUAAGCACCGGCUAACUUCGUG
rnacentral:rRNA from 1 species